CGUGUGGUUCUAUUUUGUUGGUUUCUAGGACCGCCGUAAUGAUUAAUAGGGACAGUCGGGGGCAUCAGUAUUCAAUUGUCAGAGGUGAAAUUCUUGGAUUUAUUGAAGACUGACUACUGCGAAAGCAUUUGCCAAGGAUGUUUUCAUUAAUCAGGAACGAAAGUUAGGGGAUCGAAGACGAUCAGAUACCGUCGUAGUCUUAACCAUAAACUAUGCCGACUAGGGAUCGGACGAUGUUACUUAUUGACUCGUUCGGCACCUUACGAGAAAUCAAAGUGCUUGGGCUCCAGGGGGAGUAUGGUCGCAAGGCUGAAACUUAAAGAAAUUGACGGAAGGGCACCACCAGGGGUGGAGCCUGCGGCUUAAUUUGACUCAACACGG
rnacentral:rRNA from 1 species